rnacentral:misc_RNA from 1 species
GUUAGGGUUAGGGUUAGGGUUAGGUUAGAGUUUUAUAGAUGGGAACAGAUUCGCGUUUUUCUGGAAUCUCCGAUUUCAAAUUUGAGGAUGAUAUUGUUUUCCCUGAUUCAGAUCAGCAUCCAAACUCUAUUAACGGGUUCAAAUUCAAAGACACCCCUUUUGAUAUAGACUUCAACUUUGUAGACAGUUCACUUGUUUUGCCUGACCUAGACACCAGUAAGGCUUCUCAUUCAUCCAUCACUACCACAGAUGGAGACUCACCUUCCGAUGAUAAUGAUUUCUCAGAGACUGUCCUAAAUUACAUAAGCCAGAUGCUUAUGGAGGAGGACAUGGAAGAGAAACCAUGCAUGUUCCAUGAUCCUUUGGCUCUUCAAGCUGCAGAGAAAUCUCUAUAUGAUGUUCUUGGUGAGAAGAACCUGUCUUCACCCAAUCAAUCCUCUUCCUAUGCUGACCAAUUUUUGGUUGAUAGCCCAGAUGAUAGGAUUUUGAGCGGUUUCAGUGAUUAUAGUAGGAAUAGCAGUUCUGGUUAUAAUACUGGCAGUUCUGUUGAACAACGAUGUAAUGGUGAAUUUGGGGAAUUUAAACCAUCGUUUAUGCAAACACCUCUUCCCACUAAUUUCAUUUUCCAAUCGGUUGCAAACUCCAGUUCACAAGAGCCAAUCAAAUUGCAAAAUGGGUUAGCAAGAAAUGAUAAUGAUGUGAUGGGUUCCUCUAUUGGUAUGAUUAUGUUGCCAAAUUGGUUCAGCGAGAAUGAAUUGGCAUUGCAGUUCCAGAAAGGUGUAGAGGAAGCUAAUAAGUUCCUUCCUAAGGGUAAUCAACUGCUUAUUGAUUUGGAGGCUGUAUCGAUGCCAAAGUUGAAGGAAAAAGAUACAAAGGUGGCAGUGAAGGUAGAGAAGGAGGAGAGGGAAUACUUGCCUAAUAUGAUUAAAGGAAAGAAGAAUCACGAUCGAGAGGAAGAAGAUUUGCAGGAAGAAAGGAGCAACAAACAGUCUGCAGUUUAUGCAGAUGAAAGUGAACUAGCAGAGAUGUUUGAUAAGGUGUUAGUAUGCACUGGGGAAGAAUGUGGACCUCCUGCAUGUAUUCUUAAUGACACUUUGCAGAGUGGAUCAAGAAAGACAUUGCAUCAGAAUGGACAAACAAAUGGAUCUAACUCUAAUGGUGGUGGCAAGAAUCGGGUUAAGAGACAAGGAAAUAAGAAGGAAGUGGUUGAUUUGAGGACCCUUCUGAUUCUAUGUGCACAAGCAGUGUCUGCUGAUGAUCGCCGGACCGCUAAUGAACUACUAAAGCAGAUAAGGCAGCAUUCUUCGCCUUUUGGUGAUGGGUCUCAAAGAUUAGCUCAUUGCUUUGCCAAUGGCCUCGAAGCACGUUUGGCUGGGACAGGAACCCAGAACUAUACUGCCUUGUCUUCUGAAAAAGCUUCAGCUGCAGAUAUGUUGAAAGCUUACCAAGCUUACAUUUCUGCCUGUCCAUUUAAGAAGAUUGCAAUCAUCUUUGCAAACCAUAGUAUUCUGGCUGCUUCAAAGAAUGCAACAACACUUCAUAUAAUAGACUUUGGUAUAUUAUAUGGUUUCCAGUGGCCUGCUCUCAUUUAUCGCCUCUCAAAAAGAGCUGAUGGGCCUCCCAAGCUGCGAAUUACAGGGAUAGAGCUUCCACAAAGUGGUUUCCGGCCUGCAGAGAGAGUUCAGGAGACUGGCCGCCGCUUGGCAAAAUACUGUGAGCGCCAUAAUGUUCCGUUCGAGUACAAUGCCAUAGCAAAGAAAUGGGAAACUAUCCAAAUUGAUGACCUCAAGAUUAAUGGUGGUGAAGUUGUUGCUGUGAAUUGUCUUUUCCGAUUUAAGAACCUGCUUGAUGAGACAGUUGUGGUUAACAGUCCCAGGAACACUGUUCUAAACUUAAUCAGCAAGAUAAAUCCAGAUAUAUUUAUCCAUGCCAUUGUUAAUGGGUCCUAUAGUGCUCCAUUUUUUGUCACAAGGUUCCGGGAGGCUCUUUUCCACUUCUCUGCAUUGUUUGAUAUGUUUGAUACUAAUAUGCCUCGUGAAGAUCAAAUGAGGUUGAAGUUUGAGAAAGAGUUCUAUGGUCGGGAAGCUUUGAAUGUCAUAGCAUGUGAGGGCUCGGGAAGGGUAGAGAGACCCGAGACAUACAAGCAAUGGCAGAUUCGAAACGCGAGAGCUGGGUUGAAACAACUUCCUUUGGACCCUCAACUCCUGAACAAAUUGAAGUGUAGGGUGAAGACACGGUACCAUGAAGAUUUCGUGGUAGAUCAAGAUGGCCAAUGGAUGCUGCAGGGAUGGAAGGGACGGAUUCUUUAUGCAUCCAGUGCCUGGGUUCCUGGAUAGGAACAACAGAGUUUGUUUCUCAGGGAAUGGCUCCAGCAGCGGUUAGGCAGUAUUAUUUUCUUAGUUGAAGCUGCCUAAGAUGAAGAGAGCCAGAAGUGGACCUGGUAUCUCUAUUUGAUUGUACUAAUAGAACCUUUAAUGUUAUAACUCCAUAGGUGGCAUGUUAUAUAAUUAGCCAGAGCCCUUUGCUCAUGGAUGUGAUUAUUAUGUUGUCAAUAUAAUCAUGUUGCUUUUUAUUUGUUCUUUUGGGAAUGCAUUUCACUAGAAAUAUCCUUGGUCAGGGAUUCAGUAUUGGCUGUUUAAUAUUGGUCAGGGUUGCUUGAUGUUCUCAACGCCCUAGUUUUCGUGACAAGCCACAUAACUAGCUGUAAUUCAUCAGGGCUAUUGAAACUUUAGAAGAAUUUAUCCAUUGAUAUUCAAGAAGGAUUCAGUAUUGGCUAUUUAAUAUUGGUCAGGGUUGCUUGAUGUUCUCAACGCCCUAGUUUUCGUGACAAGCCACAUAACUAGCUGUAAUUCAUCAGGGCUAUUGAAACUUUAGAAGAAUUUAUCCAUUGAUAUUCAAGAAGGAUUCAGUAUUGGCUA